CUACGGGAUGCUCCAGUCAAGAAUCUUCCACAAUGGCCGAAAGGCUGAUGGAGCGACGCCGCGUGACCGAAGAAGCCCUUUGGGGUGUAAAGGUCUUUUAUAAGGGACGAAUCAAUGACGGUACCUUAUGAAUAAGGGGCUGCUAAUCACGUGCCAGCAGCAGCGGUAAUACGUGAGCCCCAAGCGUUAUCCGGAUUUAUUGGGCGUAAAGAGUCUGUAGGCGGCUUGGUGCGUUCUCUGUUAAAACUCUGGGCUUAACUCAGAGCUCACAGAGAAUACGGCCUCGCUAGAGACCGGAAGAGGCAGAUGGAACUGCCGGUGUAACGGUAAAAUGUGUUAAUAUCGGCAAGAACACCAAAUGCGAAGGCAUUCUGCUGGGACGGAUCUGACGCUGAGAGACGAAAGCGUGGGGAGAGAACGGGAUUAGAUACCCCUGUAGUC
rnacentral:rRNA from 1 species